GGUUAAACAUGUUUAUGAGAUCUCAACCCUCCCCCUAUACCUCUAGCCAAUGUAGAAAAGUAAACGCAUAACAAUACGCACAUUAAAAUUCAGUUAAAGAGAAGUCCGAGUCCGAUGUCAGAAGAUGUAACAAAAGAAAAUAAACAAAAUGACAAUAAUACAUAAAUAACAACAGACUACUAGCAGUUAACUGACAUGCCAGCUCCAGACCUCAAUUUAACUGAUUGAAAGAUUAUGUCUUCAUCAUAUGAAUAUCAGGCACA
rnacentral:lncRNA from 1 species